UGUCUAUCUAUUUAUCUGGAUAUAAUCGAUCUAUCUAUCUCUUGAUCUAUCGUGUUAUAAUCUAUCUAUCUAUCUGACACAAAAUAAAAAGAAAUGGGUGGAGAAGUAGGAGGAAGAAGACAAAAUAACACGCUGCCAUGCCACCAAUUUACAGUUAAUGACCAAUGUCAGCUGAUUUUAAAAAAAAAUCCAAAAAAACAUUUAUUCUUGGGCUGCAGAGGGAAUUGGCACCAGUAAUUAUUUUCAAGUUUUUUACCAACGUGAAAAUAAAUGUGGAGAAUUAUUUUUUGAAGUUUUGUGUCUGUUUGGAAAACAAAUAGGACUAAUUAUGGAUUCCACCACUUGUUGACAGCACUGUAAAAUUAUUGCAUAUGGUUCAUGUGAUUCCAGUUUCCUAUGUUUUUUGUUGUUGUUUUUGUUGUUUUUGUUUCAGGGUUGUUGUUGUUGUUGUCUUUCUUUUCUUUUUCUUUUUUUUCUUCCUGGCUGCUGGCAGCGGGCGCAGAUAGCACAUGAGUCGCUGUCAUCCCCGCGCGCAACAGUGGCGGACGGGUGGAACCGGAGGGAGCAGACUUGUUGCAGCCAUACGGCGGCGGCGGCGUCCCGGAGCUGGCAAACGCUGCGCACAGCGCGCACGGUCUCCAGUCUCCAGUCUCCAGUCUCCAGGCUCCAGUCUCCAGUCUCCAGUCUCCAGGCUCCAGUCUCCGGGCUCCAGGCUCCAGGCUCCAGUCUCCGGACUCCAGUCUCCAGGCUCCAGUCUCCGGGCUCCGGUCUCCGGGCUCCGGUCCGGUGGAGUGGAGCACACUGACCCGCCAGACAAACGACAAGAUCCACCGGAUUCAUCAUUCUCUGCUCCGUCGCCUCGCCUGAACUGGUCGUCCGUCUCUGCGCCUCCCGGAAGCCUGUUUCUUCUCUUCUUUUUUCUUUUUUUUUCUUUUUUGUUAACCAUGUUGAUCUUUUUUUUUUCGUUGUUUGUUUGUCACAUGGCUUUUGGAGAAUUCAAUAACAACAAAAAAUGGCGACAAUCACGUUGCUCCGUGUGGUCUGACUUGCUGCGUCAUUAAUUUUUUUUAAAUAUAUAUAUAGAUAUACAUAUCUAUAUAUCAACAUAAACACGGGGGGGGGGGGUCGAUCGUGGACGUCACAGGGUAAGUGAUCUUAUUAAGUCUUUAUUUCUUAUUUGCAGUGCACACUGGGUGUGAAUAAGAAUGUGACGAGCUGCGUUCGGAUCAGCAUGCUGUUUGUUUUUGCCCAGAAAAAGGGGUGUGUGUGUGUGUGUGUGUGUGUGUGAAAUGCUGGGGCGUUAACGUUUGGCUGCACAAUAUUCCAUACGGACAAUGCACUUGUUUUAUAAUUUUUUACCUUUACUCGGUUGUUUUCCAAGUAGAUAUGCAGAGUGUUGCCACGCGACACAUAAAGGGUGUGUGUGUGGGUGGUGGGGGGGGGGGGGGUUGUUUGUAUAUGGCCAACUUUAGUUUUCUUCCAGACAACAGCAUCGAGCACGAGCUCGUGUCUGCUCUGGCCUCUGCUUGGCCCUUAUGCUGCUUAUUGCCCACUGUCACAUUCACUGUUAAUAAGCUGUGAAUCAUUUCAGUUAUUUACAUCCAAGGUUUAUAUAACAGGGACGCUUCUUUUCUUUUUGUUUCUGUGCAGGCACGCGGGCGACACCUCAGCUCGGCCCUGACAGUGUGCCCCCCCCCCCCCCCCCCGUCCCUCUGCGGUCAUUGGCACAUGUCGCCGCGCUCUGCUUGUCCACGUAUGUGACACGGACAUUUUUGGACGGCGUGCUGCGCAGCGGGGUCUAAUGGAGUUGUUUACAAGAAGUGCAGAGGGCGGGCGGACUGACGAGGGGGAGGGGGAGGAGGAGGAGGAGGGGGAGGAGCCAGCGGCGCGACCCGACUGCUGGAGAGGAGCGACGAGGGGGCGGAGCCCGCGCGCAGGAUCAUAACAAGUCUGACGUCACUCGGAUUCACAGUAAAGAUCGCCGACGUCGAUCAAAUGUGGCGUGUGAAGACUUGCGCCGUCUAUCGACCGCGUGCCGUUCGGACGCAGGCAGAGGUUUUUUUGCGCGAAAUCAGUGCUGCAAUGAUCGGACGGGUUCGAUUGAUCGACCCGCCGGUCAACAGAAAAUGAUCUGUUCAUGGUUUUAGGACAAAAAGCUUCUUAUUUUUUAAGUUUGCUGCUUCUCGUGUAUAAAAAAAAAUACAUGUAAUGUCCCUCAGAUUUUGAUUUAGCAAAAGCAAAUGGAAAACAUCAAUGUUGGUGAGGAGUUUGGGGUUAAAUUUUAGUUUUAACUAUUUUUUUCUAACAUUUCAAAAAGCUAUGGCUAUUGGCUGACAAAUAACUGGCUUAUCAAGCUGUGUGGAUUUAAUACUACAUGAAAUAGAAUGUUUUAAGAGCAUUCAAGAUCAGUAUUGAAUGGAUUUCCAUGUGUGGUUCACAGCAUUAGACAAGAUGUGUUUGUUUUUUGGGCAACACACAUGUAACUGGGUGAUAAGAGUCCUCAGCUGCGUCAUAUUAAUGCCUAAGCAUCCAUAAACACAUUUACACCAUAUAUGGACAACAUAUUUUAAUAUUUUGCAUGAUGGAUAUAAUAGAUGAAACUACAUAAAUUGCCAGAAUUCCUCAUCAAUGUUCUGAUUUAACUUUUACCGCUUAGUGCUGAGCCAAUUUCACCAAAUACAGAUUUUGAAACGAACAGUAGAAUAUAAAAAACGAUACUGGAAAAUGCUGGACAGACAACUUGCACAUGUUCUGCAUGAGAUACACUGCCAAAUGAUCUGCGUACACGCGAAAAGCAAAACUUUUGUUAUCCUUGCACCUGUUGACCCAGAGCACGGAUAUUAUGGGUGGAUGACGAGUGCAGCGGAGCGGAGCGGAGCCACGGGGCUGCUAGAUUUCACAGGCUGCCCUGGUUCAGUUAUCACAGUGCUGAUGCUGUCCCCAUCGAAGGUACAGUACUGUGAUAACUGAAGGAUGGCUGCCAACUUGACACUAAGGGCAGUGGAUCCGGACACGUUCUGCUAAAGAGCCACGAGGGCCGGAUGUCGACACGUGUGAGUAUGUCAUUUGAAAAAAAAAAAAGUGGUAUGAUAUUUGUAAGUUAUUGUGUGUUUAAGGUGCAAGAAACUCAAAAGCUGUAUGUUUGUGCUAUGUUCAUUUCUCAUGUAACUUCUGCUCGACUACGAGAAAUAAAAAAUAUAUACAUUUCA